rnacentral:rRNA from 1 species
CUACGGGACGCAGCAGUGAGGAAUAUUGCACAAUGGGGGGAACCCUGAUGCAGCAACGCCGCGUGGAGGAUGACGCAUUUCGGUGUGUAAACUCCUUUUAUAUGUCAAGAAAACGACGGUAGCAUAUGAAUAAGCACCGGCUAACUCCGUGCCAGCAGCCGCGGUAAUACGGAGGGUGCAAGCGUUACUCGGAAUCACUGGGCGUAAAGGACGCGUAGGCGGGUUGGAAAGUCAGGUGUGAAAUCCUACAGCUUAACUGUAGAACUGCACUUGAAACUUCUAAUAUAGAGUAUGGGAGGGGGAGAUGGAAUUAGUGGUGUAGGGGUAAAAUCCGUAGAUAUCAAUAGGAAUACCUAAAGCGAAGGCGAUCUCCUGGAACAUUACUGACGCUAAGGCGUGAAAGCGUGGGGAGCAAACAGGAUUAGAUACCCGAGUAGUC